UGAAUACGAGACGCUAAGGCGUCGAAGUAGUGUAUGUCAUACUUCCAAGAAAAGCUUGCACUGUCAUAGAUAAAAAACGCCUGUACCAUAACCGACACAGGUGGGUAGGUAGAGUAUACUAAGGGGCGCGAGAUAACUCUCUCUAAGGAACUCGGCAAAAUAACUCCGUAACUUCGGGAGAAGGAGUGCCUUAUUUUUAAGGCUGCAAUAACAAGAUCCAAGCAACUGUUUAUCAAAAACACAGGUCUCCGCUAAGUCGUAAGACGAUGUAUGGGGGCUGACGCCUGCCCAGUGCCAGAAGGUUAAAGAAGUUGGUUAGCUUUUGCGAAGCUGAUAAGUGAAGCCCUGGUGAACGGCGGCCGUAACAAUAACGGUCCUAAGGUAGCGAAAUUCCUUGUCGGGUAAGUUCCGACCCGCACGAAAGGCGUAAUGAUUUGGAUACUGUCUCGGAGAGGGGCUCGGUGAAAUAGACUUGUCUGUGAAGAUGCGGACUACCUGCACCAGGACAGAAAGACCCUAUGAAGCUUUACUGUAACUUGAAAUUGAAAUUGGACUUUAUUCGCGCAGCAUAGGUGGGAGGCGUUGAUUAUAAUCUCGUGGGAUUAUUGGAGCCAUCAGUGAGAUACCACUCUUGUAAUGUUAGAUUUCUAACUUUGAAUCAUUAUCUGGUCAAAGAACAGUUUCAGGCGGGCAGUUUGACUGGGGCGGUCGCCUCCUAAACGGUAACGGAGGCGUACAAAGGUCUCCUCUGAACGGUUAGAAAUCGUAUCUAGAGUGUAAAGGCAUAAGGAAGCUUGACUGUGAGACCUACAAGUCGAGCAGGGACGAAAGUCGGUCUUAGUGAUCUGACGGUACUGAGUGGAAAGGCCGUCACUCAACGGAUAAAAGUUACUCUAAGGAUAACAGGCUGAUCUCCCCCAAGAGUUCACAUCGACGGGGAGGUUUGGCACCUCGAUGUCGGCUCAUCGCAUCCUGGGGCGGUAGUACGUCCCAAGGGUUGGGCUGUUCGCCCAUGAGAGCGGUACGCGAGCUGGGUUCAGAACGUCGUGAGACAGUUCGGUCCAUAUCCGGUGUAGGCGUUAGAAUAUUGAGAGGAGCCUUCUUUAGUACGAGAGGACCGAGAAGGACAUACCUCUGGUGUACCAGUUAUCGUGCCAACGGUAAACGCUGGGUAGCUAUGUAUGGAGUGGAUAACCGCUGAAAGCAUCUAAGUGGGAAGCCCACCUCAAGAUAAGUAUUCUC
rnacentral:rRNA from 1 species